AUAAAAAAAAAAAAUAAAUCCUCAUCUCACCCCUUGGGUGGUAUCCCAGGAACAACAUCGGACAUCUCAGUCCAGAAAUGUGCAGUGCUGGGAACAGCAAGGAUACUGCGCAGAACCCUCAAGCUUCCUGGCCUCUGGUAGAGGACCCGAGCUGAAUGAGGGACGGACACCACCCGAGGGGUGAGAUGAGGAUUU